ACGGGUGAGUAACACGUGGGUAACCUGCCUGUAAGACUGGGAUAACUCCGGGAAACCGGGGCUAAUACCGGAUGCUUGUUUGAACCGCAUGGUUCAGACAUAAAAGGUGGCUUCGGCUACCACUUACAGAUGGACCCGCGGCGCAUUAGCUAGUUGGUGAGGUAACGGCUCACCAAGGCGACGAUGCGUAGCCGACCUGAGAGGGUGAUCGGCCACACUGGGACUGAGACACGGCCCAGACUCCUACGGGAGGCAGCAGUAGGGAAUCUUCCGCAAUGGACGAAAGUCUGACGGAGCAACGCCGCGUGAGUGAUGAAGGUUUUCGGAUCGUAAAGCUCUGUUGUUAGGGAAGAACAAGUGCCGUUCAAAUAGGGCGGCACCUUGACGGUACCUAACCAGAAAGCCACGGCUAACUACGUGCCAGCAGCCGCGGUAAUACGUAGGUGGCAAGCGUUGUCCGGAAUUAUUGGGCGUAAAGGGCUCGCAGGCGGUUUCUUAAGUCUGAUGUGAAAGCCCCCGGCUCAACCGGGGAGGGUCAUUGGAAACUGGGGAACUUGAGUGCAGAAGAGGAGAGUGGAAUUCCACGUGUAGCGGUGAAAUGCGUAGAGAUGUGGAGGAACACCAGUGGCGAAGGCGACUCUAUGGUCUGUAACUGACGCUGAGGAGCGAAAGCGUGGGGAGCGAACAGGAUUAGAUACCCUGGUAGUCCACGC
rnacentral:rRNA from 1 species